AUUGAACGCUGGCGGCAGGCCUAACACAUGCAAGUCGAGCGAAGCGGGGACGGGUGAGUAACACGUGGAUAACCUCCUAUAAGACUGGGAUAACUUCGGGAAACCGGAGCUAAACCGGAUACUUAUGUCUGGAUCCGCGCUGCAUUAUCUAGUUGGUAAGGGAACGGCUUACAAAGGCAACGAUGCAUAGCCGACCUGCGAGGGGGAUCGGCCACACGGGAACUGGGCCACGGUCCAGACGCCUACGGAAGGCAGCAGUAGGGAAUCUUCCGAAAUGGGCGAAAGCCUGACGGAGCAACGCCGCGUGAGGGAUGAAGGUCUUCGGAUCGUAAAACUCUGUUAUUAGGGAAGCGGUACCUAAUCAGAAAGCCACGGCUAACUACGUGCCAGCAGCCGCGGUAAUAC
rnacentral:rRNA from 1 species